rnacentral:lncRNA from 1 species
AACAGAACAGGUUCCCCGAGGCCGCCUUUUUUCUUGCUAAGCCCUUGGCCUACCAUCCCGGAAGCCUGAGGCGUCCUGCGGGAAAGGACUGGCUCGCCGUCAUAUUUGUGACCCAGGCAGGGUGGAGAGAAAACUAAGCUGCUUUGGUAAUAGUUUCCGGGAAUUCGGGAGUCAAGAAUAAAGCACUUCGACCUAAAAAUAGAGAUCCAGAGUCUAGACAGGGGGUCACCGUGGGCUAGCACCCCUCAGGGUUAGUUUUAUCCUGGGGCACUGCAGGCUGUCAGGACUGCCUGGGCCCUUACUUGGUAUUUGGCAUUAGUCAGGCAUUAUUGGGAACAAUAUUUGAGUUUUUCUUGCUUGAAUGCCUGCUACUGGAUCGUCUCGGGGCCGUCUUGUUUUCACAAUCUCAAAGGUUUGGCUUCUGCACUCCCAGCCCCUAAGAUUCUAGGUGCUAUGGUCUCUGAAGCCUAGGCUGGCAAAUAUGCUGGACACCACAAGCUUCCUUUCUGUGUUUGUUGCGGUGGCACAAACAUAGCCCCUACUCACUACCUGGCUUAGCUGUUCCCGUGAAGAGUGAGAUUGAGGCAGAGCCUCCACUGUGUGCUGAGCAAGGGUGAGCACCAACAGCUGGACCAUGCGCUGUGAGCACCUGACACUUGACAUUUUCAAAGGGACUCUGUUAUAGGUUGAAUUGUGUCUCCCCCAAAUAUGUUGGGAAGUCUUAACCCCCAGUCCCUG